AAAGUGGACACGUAUUGCUCAACUCAAAUGGAGUGUAGGGGAACUAGCCUAUUGUCGGUGGAGUAUGGAAUAUUGGAGAGAGGCAGAGCAGAAAUACAAGCCACACAAGUGACUGAGGCUUAGGACCCUUGAUGACAUGCUACAGAUAGACUACAGACACUCUAAGACAAGGAUUCCCGAUUUUCGUAGUGAAAGUAAAGAGGACGAGGAAAUGGUACCAAGUACAUCAUGAUGGAAAUGAGGCUCUUGAGGAUUAGAGUUGGUUCUGGCUUUGGAUCAUCCGUUGGAAUAAGCUAAUGGAGGAAGAAUGGACUUGUGUUGCUAAGACGGAAAAACUGCACUCAGCGAUGGAUGAUAAUUGUGACGCCCUAUACCCAUAGCUGGCAUUUUUGGACUCCUCAUAAGUGGCAACGGAUUUGACGAAAGGGUGGGCAUGGAGACACAGAGAUUUGGUUGCGCAAACACAAUGGCAUUAAGAAUUUCUUGUUUCUCUGAUCCUCACCAUUUUAUAUGCUUAUGUUUGAAAAUUAAAACAAUAAGAAGACUGUUAAAAUAAUUUUGUAUAUAUGUACAAAUUCUUAAAAAAUGUCUCUUCAUAGUUAUGUUCGAAAAAAUUUGACUUGAUGUUAUGUAACGCCAGUUAUACAGCUUAGCAUGCUGUCUCUAGGUCUGUUAAAUACAUGUUUUGUAGGAGAUAUACAUGAACAGAAAAA